rnacentral:rRNA from 1 species
GACGAACGCUGGCGGCGUGCUUAACACAUGCAAGUCGAACGGAAAGGCCCUGCUUGCAGGGUACUCGAGUGGCGAACGGGUGAGUAACACGUGGGUGAUCUGCCCUGCACUUCGGGAUAAGCCUGGGAAACUGGGUCUAAUACCGGAUAGGAGCCAUUUUUAGUGUGAUGGUUGGAAAGUUUUUUUCGGUGUAGGAUGAGCUCGCGGCCUAUCAGCUUGUUGGUGGGGUAAUGGCCUACCAAGGCGGCGACGGGUAGCCGGCCUGAGAGGGUGGACGGCCACAUUGGGACUGAGAUACGGCCCAGAAUCCUACGGGAGGCAGCAGUGGGGAAUAUUGCACAAUGGGCGCAAGCCUGAUGCAGCGACGCCGCGUGGGGGAUGACGGCCUUCGGGUUGUAAACUCCUUUCGCUAGGGACGAAGCUUUUUGUGACGGUACCUAGAGAAGAAGCACCGGCUAACUACGUG